rnacentral:rRNA from 1 species
GACGAACGCUGGCGGCGUGCUUAACACAUGCAAGUCGAACGGAAAGGCCCUACUUGUGUGGGGUUCUCGAGUGGCGAACGCGUGAGUAACACGUGAGUAACCUGCCCUUGACUUUGGGAUAACUUCAGGAAACUGGGGCUAAUACCGGAUAGGAGCCCCUGCAGCGUGGAGGGGGUUGGAACGUUUCGGCGGGUGGGGAUGGACUCGCGGCUUAUCAGCUUGUUGGUGGGGUAGUGGCUUACCAAGGCUUUGACGGGUAGCCGGCCUGAGAGGGUGACCGGCCACAUUGGGACUGAGAUACGGCCCAGACUCCUACGGGAGGCAGCAGUGGGGAAUAUUGCACAAUGGGCGGAAGCCUGAUGCAGCAACGCCGCGGGCGGGAUGACGGCCUUCGGGUUGUAAACCGCUUUCGCCUGUGACGAAGCGUGAGUGACGGUAAUGGGUAAAGAAGCACCGGCUAACUACGUG